rnacentral:rRNA from 1 species
AACGAACGCUGGCGGCAGGCUUAACACAUGCAAGUCGAGCGCCCCGCAAGGGGAGCGGCAGACGGGUGAGUAACGCGUGGGAAUCUACCGAGCCCUGCGGAAUAGCUCCGGGAAACUGGAAUUAAUACCGCAUACGCCCUACGGGGGAAAGAUUUAUCGGGGUUUGAUGAGCCCGCGUUGGAUUAGCUAGUUGGUGGGGUAAAGGCCUACCAGGGCGACGAUCCAUAGCUGGUCUGAGAGGAUGAUCAGCCACAUUGGGACUGAGACACGGCCCAAACUCCUACGGGAGGCAGCAGUGGGGAAUAUUGGACAAUGGGCGCAAGCCUGAUCCAGCCAUGCCGCGUGAGUGAUGAAGGCCCUAGGGUUGUAAAGCUCUUUCAACGGUGAAGAUAAUGACGGUAACCGUAGAAGAAGCCCCGGCUAACUUCGUGCCAGCAGCCGCGGUAAAAC